rnacentral:rRNA from 1 species
GAUGAACGCUGGCGGCGUGCCUAACACAUGCCAGUCGAGCGGACGCACGAGUAUCUUGCUUCUCUGAUUUUAGCGGCGGACGGGAGAGUAACAUGUGUUCAACAUACCUCUAAGACUGUGAUAAUUUCGUGAAACCGGCCCUAUUACCGGAAAAUUUUCUGACCCGCAUUGUUCAAAAGUCUAAGACGCUCUUUCUUUCACUUAUAGCUUGAUCCGCGUUGCAUUAGUUAGUUGGUAGGGUAACGGCCUAGCCAGGCGACGAGGGAUAGCCGACCUGAGCGGGUGAACAGCCACACUGGAAGUGAGAAACGGUACAGACUCCGAGGGGAGGCAGCAGUCGGGAAUCUUACGCAAUGGGCGAAAGCGUGAAGGAGCAACGCGGGGGGAAGGAUGAAGGUCUUCGGAUCGUAAAGCGCUGUUAGUAGGGAAGAACAUAUGUGUAAGUAACUGUGCACAUAUUGACGGUACCGAAAGAGAAAGCCACGGCUAACUACGUG